UCUAGCUGUGACUUCCAGCACUUUGCUGAAGAAGACUGUUGAAACCGCACAGCCUCGCUUUGUUCCCAAUCGCAGUGAGAAAACACUCGGUCUGUCCUCAUGGAGUGUGUGACAAGCAAGUCCUGCUAAGCCAGUUCUUUUUUCUUCUUUUGGCAGCUCCAGGGAUCAAGCAGAGGUUCUGUGAAUGAUAGGCAAGUGCUCCACUACCAAACUACAACCCCAGUCUGAGAAUAAGUUCUCAAUAAGAAGCAUUGUGGUCCUGUAAGAUCUGCUGCUGGCCACAUCCAAGCCACACCAGGGUAUGCAACUUCAGCAGGGGCUAUGUCCAGGGCCUUAGAAUCUGCCCCAUAUGGUAUCCCAUAGAGCCAGCCCCUCUCAGCUCCUUUGGCAUCGUAUAGCCAUGACAAGAUGCAGGAAUGGCUAGAGGAAACGAACCCCUGUCUCCUCAUGUUCCUCUCAGAGGCUCUCUUCAGUGCUGUGCAAGCGGGGUUAGCUGCCUGGCUUCUGGACAUUCCUUUGUCUCACUUUCCAUCUCCUUGUUGGGGAAGCUGGAAAUCAUCCAGACCAUCCUACUGUAUUGUGGCUCCAUGUGGGUUCUGGAGAUCCGAACUCAGGCUAUUGGACUUUCUUGUGACAAGUGCCUUUUACCCACAGAGCCAUCUCCCUAGACCCGGGAUUACUGCUAUUUAUUUAUUUACUUACUUACUUAUUUAUUUAUUUUUACCUACAUCUUAGUCCUGUGCACUGACAUAUGAACUCCUUGACAAUGUUACCUGCUUCACAUUUUUAAGGGUUAAACAGUCCCAUGGCCUACACAGAGUGUUCCAAUGUCUGUGCAAUGGUAUAGGAGGACAACGUAUGCCUCUGAAGUUGGUCUUUGUUGUGGGAUCUGAUGAUUGCGACAAUUGUAAUGGAACACUUGGGGAGCUAUUUAAAAAGUGUUCUUUUGGGCUAUGUGCUAUAUAUAGCUUGAAGGUCACAUUUUACAUAGAAGUAAAUAUGUCAGUUGAUUCAAUGAGUCAGAGCAAGUUUGUUUAUAUCUAAUGAAAUUACACAAUACACAAGACUACAGGAAACACAUUCUGCCUAUCUUCUGUUUCCAGCUAAAUUAAGCUCUAAGAAGGAAAUAUGUUGCUCUCUCACAGCCUACCACUUUUAAACAACCUCAAAGGCCUAUUCCCCAUGGGCUCUACUUUGGCAGGAUACUGCUGUCAGUCUGUGCAUGGGGUCAUGUGAAACCCUGUGAUCUGGACAGUUAGUGGUCCACUCUUCACUAAUAGAUACCACCUUUCAUAUGACUCCUGCAUGGGAAAAGAAAGUCCUGUUCCUGCACUGGGAAUGUUUGGGAGAAUCACUCUCCACACAAUUAUUCAAACUCCAAUAAUCUUAUCUAAUUCUGAACAAUGCCUACUUCAACACAGGGACUUUAUUGUUCUAUGGAUUUCCUUAUUACCCACCCUGCACAAGCUCAGCUUGAAGUUUCCUUGAAUGCUGUACCAUACCAUUCCCUUGCUAACAAAGACAGAAAGCAGUGGGCGAAGGGUAAAGCGCUGGUUUAAUUGGAGCCUGCAUUCCUGGUAAUUUACUUAGGAAACCAGUAUAAAGAACUGCCAAUCAUCCUGAGAAUGAGUGAGGAGGCCAAAAGCCCACAGAGUCUAAACAGUGACUUAGUUUAACAACAGAGAAUUUUAUAGUAUCUCAUCAUAGAUCUUCCAAAUGACGCAGCUAUACCACUCCUGGGUAUUUACCCAAGGGACUUCAAGUCAACACAACACAGUGGUAUUUGCACAUUAAUGUUAUCGGAGCAUUAGUCACAAUAGCUAAAUUAUAGGACUAAUCUAGUUGUCCAACUACAGAGGGAUGGAUAAAGAAAAUGUGGUUUAUAUACCCAAUGGAAUUUUUUCUCAGCUAUAAAGAACGAAGUUGGGUUAGGGAGGUGGCUUAGCAGUUGAAGGCACCUACUUCCAAGGCACCUACUUCCUGAAGACCUGAGUCCAAUCCAUAGGACCCACACAUUCGAAGGAGGAGAGACCUGACUGCCACAGCUAAUCCUCCGGACCACCACAUGUAUGCCAUGACACAUGCCACUCCCAUGCCACACAUGCUCACAAUAUAAAAAUGAAAUGUUUUGAGAAGAAUGAAGUUUUUCAUGUGCAGGAAAAUGGAUGGAACUGGAGAUAAUGUUCUGCCAAGUAAGUCAGUCACAGAAAGACAAAUAUUACGGGUUUUUUUUCUCAUUUGUGGCUGGUAGAUCUUAUAUUGAUACAUAAAGUCAGUUAUGUAUAUGCCAUGAAUGUAGAAAUGAUGUUGUCUAGGAGAACAAAUGAACAGGAGUGGGAGAGUCAAGAGAGAGGAGGGCAAAGGUCAGGUGAAUGGGAGAAUGCUUAGCAUACAAUACGUUCUUACACAAAAACUUGUAAAACUACACAAAUAAGAUAUUUACUUAAUUUCCAAAAAAUAGCCAUAAAGUUAUAUGUUAUCUUGCAGAUGUGAAGACAAAACCAGAUGUAUCUAGUAUCUAGCUUUAGGCCCAGGGUGCAGCCCCAACUGGUCCUAGGAACCCAGAAAGACUGGCAUUUCCUCCUCAGCAAUCACCUUCUGUUGGGUCUAACUUGUUUUACAUGGUUCCUUAUUGUGGUGGUUUGAAUAAAAAUGACCCCCAUAGGCCCAUAGGGAGCAGCACUAUUAGGAAGUGUGGCCUUGUUGGAGUAGGUGUGGCUUUGCCAGAGGGGGUGUGGCUUUGUUGGAGGAAGUGUGUCACUAGGGGAUGGGCUUUGAGGUCUCAAGCCUGGCCAGGGUGCCACUGUCACUCCUGCUGCCUGUGGAUACAGAUGUAGAACUCUCAGCUCUUUCUCCAGGACCACGUCUGCCUGCAUGCCGCCAUGUUGUCUAGAAGAACAUGUCACUAAUUUCUGCCAGGAGGACAAUGGACUAAACCUCUGACUAUAAACUAGCGCCAAUGAAAUGUUUUCCUUUAUAAGAGCUGCCAUGGUCAUGGUGUGUCCUUGUGGUGAUAGAAGCCCUAACAGACACUUCUCUUGGCAAACACAGGGGGAAUGAGUAAAGUGCCCAUUUAAAAUGAAAAUGUUUUCAA